CCUUACACUCACAAAAACAUUUUUAUUUUGCGCUGCACAUGUUAACCCUGACGCCAUUCCUCAUACCCCCAUUAAAUAAAUGGACUUUGGAUUCCAAACUCAGUCCAAAUGGCUACAGAGUGAACAAUUUAGUCACCACGGCUGUUGAACAUUAUAAAGAGAUAGCCCCUUCGAUCUCCUUCUAAUCUAAAAAAUUCAUUCCAAGCGUAGUUUUCAUAUAACUGGAGGACAGUUGUUUGAGGAGGGGAGGAGGAUUGGAAACAGUUUGUUUUCUCUUCCCUCGUUCCUCUCAGUGGAUUCAGUGGAUAAAGAGCAGGCACACAUUACAAUAAACAUUUUUAUGGUCCCCAACAUUAGGCAUAUAAAUCCUACCUGUCUUCACACACUUACACACUAAAACUCCCACAGAAAGGGGGAAAAUUAGAAAAGGGGUGAUAUAAUUUGACUCUGUGUCACCACCCAAAUCUCAUCUUGAAUUGUAAUCCCCGUAAUUUCUCACCUGGCAAGAGUGGGACCAGGUGGAGACAAUUGGAUCAUGGGGGCAGUUUUCCCCAUGCUCUUCUCGUGAUAAUGAUUGAGUCUCAUGGGAUCUGAUGAUUCUAUAAGUGUCUGGCUUUUCUCCUACUUGCACUCACUCCAUCCUGCCACCCUGCGAGGAAGGUGCCUGCUUCUUCUUUGCCUUCCGCCGUGAGUGUGAGUCUCCUGAGGCCUCCCCAGCAAUGUGGAACUGAUACGUCAUGGAACAGAGGGCAACCUGCCUCCUGGAAAUGUGGAGUGUCUAGGGAGUCACAGCUGAGAUCUUCCUUGGAUUAAAGGCUGCGGGUGUCACAAACAGAUUCAACUGGGUGAAAUAACUGUGAACUGGGCAUGUGAAGAGAAAGCUGAAAGCCAUGAUCUCAAGAUGGAAACUUCAGUAUCCAGCAAAGAAAUGGUGAAGGCGUUCGUUAUGUGGGAUAUGCUGUUACCACUGAACUUGAAGUUAUCAAAGAAGUUCUAUUCUUAACCCUUAAUCUGCUCAGGAUGCUGUAACAACACCAUAAACUUUCAAACAACUCUAUUUCCUACGGUUCUGGAGGCUGGAAGUCCACAAUCAAAGUGUCAUGUUGUCAGGUUGUGGUGAGGGCCCUCUUUUGGGUGUAGAUUGCUAACUUUUCUGUAUGUGUUCACAUGGCAGAAAGAGAUUGAGCUAGCUCUUGGAUCCUUUCUUAUAAGGGCACCAAUCCCAAUACAGAGGCUUCACUCUCAUGACAUAAUUGUCUCCCAAAGACUCUACCUCCAAAUAUUAUCAAUCACAUUAGGGGAUAGAUUUUAACACAUGAUUUUGGGGGGAACACAUUCAGUCCAUAACAUUUCUUGAGUCUUCUUCUAGGACCCAUAGGUUAUUUUAAAAGUGGCUUGUUCAGUUCCAAGUGUUUGAAGAUUUUUUUUUUCUGUUAUCUUUAACUUACUGAUUUCUAGAUAGACCCCAUUGUGCUCAGAGAACACUCCUUAUGUGAUUUCAAUUAUUUUAAAUUUGUUGAGAUUUUAUGACUUAGUAUGUCAUCUGUCUUGGUGUGUAUUCUGUGGGGGGGAUGGGGGGUGCUUGAAAAACGGGUAUUCUGCUAUUAUAGAAUGUCAAAAUAUCAACUGUAAUAAACAAGAAAAAUAAUCCUAGUCUUUUAUUUAAGGGCCCUCUUUAGUCCAUCUCAACAGACCCUUCUCCGAAGGGGAAAGAAAUGCAGCUCACAAGAGCCCAUUAAACAACUAAAACAAGACAAAAUAAAACAACUACCCCCUGCCAAUUUGCACACUGUUACUUCUUUUGUUUUCCCAAUCUUAUUUCUUCUUCUUUUUUAUAAUAAAAAAUUUCAAAGCAAUUAUCUGCUUUCUUACUUCCCCUUGACUUUGCCUAUGUUUAGUUUUACUUUCUAUGAUUGGCCAUCAACAAUUAGGCACAAACCAUUCUGAACUUCCUCUUCACACUUACUCAAGUGGGAAAGCUGCUGUUUACAAAGUUGCAAACUAGAAAGUGCUAAAUUGAUGUUGUACAUUUGCAAGCAUUCACGUUGAAAAAAAGAUGCAAAAGAAGACAGGUGAGACAUCUUGGGAAGUGAUGUGAGAGCAAUUAUUCUUUUUAAAAUGUUUUGUCUGUAUAUAGUGUGUACACCAUCACUCACAGCUUGUCUUCUCUGAAUGUGAGUUCUGACAUCCUGUGGGUUGCUGUGCCACUUAAUUACAGUGAAUAAUGAAGAGAUUUUAAAGCCAUACUGUCACAGUUAAUAGGCUGAAUAAUUAAAGUAAUAGGAGAGUUGGUUUUCCUUAUGCACAAUCCGUUUGGUCUUCUAACACCAUUGUUUAGAUUUUGCUACAAAAUGAUUUACUUCAUCAGAAUUUACUGCUGCAUUAUUUUAGAAGCCUGACUUUACCAUUGUGUUAAGCACAAGGACUAUAUGAAGAAUUAACCUUUAUGAAUUCCCUGGAAAUAACAUAUUAAGGCAUAUAGUUAUAGCUUUAUGCUUCCCUUGACCCUCCUCUCCUUACCCUCUUCAUUGGGAUUGGAGUGAGCAAUUUAUUAGUCUGAAGCAAUAUGCAGUUGAUAAUGCAUUCAUUGA
rnacentral:lncRNA from 1 species